AUCCUCCUUCCUCAGCCUCCUCGGUAGCUGGGACUACAGGAAAGCCCUUCCCCUUCAGUGGUCAGCUAACUACUCCUCCAUGAAGCCUUCCCUGAUUCCUACUCCAGCCCCCAAGGAAGAGCCCUGCCAUGACUCACACAUCCAAAUGAGGAUUGCAGCCGUAUAAGGGGCACUGUGAAGGCUGACUGUGAUUCUGGGAGCCCGUCACCUCGCAAAACAUUUUUGGAACUCCUGCUUCGAAUCCGUGCCAGAGUUGCAGUGGUGAAUCUUCACACCUCCUGGGAGGAGUUAUUUUUGGAAACAGUGAAAAUCUGUCUGGUCACAUUUGAUUCGAGAUUCAACAGGGAAACUUUGGACUUUGGUUGUUAAGAAACCCAUCUAGGCAGCUGCAGGAAACAGAAAAUGCACGCCUAGAUGGACCCUCUGGCUCCCCACUACCCAGGCUGGAGUGGCAGAGGCUGCCAGGAAGAGCCAGGAAACAGGUGAACCCGAGGCCACUCCCUCCCCAGCCUGAGGCAAGCAAUUCUGGGAGGCGUGGGGCCGUGUGGGGCCUGCUGAGGACAGCAACCCUUCCAGGCCAGGGCUGCUGGGAGGCCAGGAGUAUGGCCAUGAAGAGCACAGCACGAUGUUCCCUCCAUCAUGUGUGCAUGUUCUAGUGGAGGAAGACUGAUGGCCAGGGACACAAAAUGAUGGAGACAGAGUCCCCUUCAAACAAACACCACACAUGUAUGUUCACUGUGGCAUCAUUCACAAUGGCAGAAGGUGCAGACAACCCAAAUGUCCAUCAGUGGAUGAAUGGAGAAACAAACAUGGCACACCCGCACAAUGGAACGCUCUUCAGCCGUAGAUGGAAUGAAGUACUGCCCCAUGCUACAGCACGGACCAACCUCGAAGACAUCAUGCUGCACGAAAGAAGUCAGCCAGAAAAGGCCACAUACUGUAUGAUUCCUUUCAUGUAAUAUACCCAGAAUAGGCAAAGCUGCAGAGACAGAAGACAGAGACAGAGACAGAUUGUCAGGGCUUGGAGGAGGGAGAAAUGGGGAGUGGCUGCUUAAUGGGUAUGGGUUUCCUUUGGGGUGGCGAAAAUGUUCUGGAACUAGGUAGUGGUGAUGGUUGUCUAAGACUGGGAAUGUGCUAAAUGUCACUGAAUUGUGCAAUUGAAAAUGGUAAAUUUUAUAUUAUUUUACUACAAUUUAAAAAAACAGAGUGAGAGAAGGCAAUCAACAGAGAAAUAGAUAUUUAACAUACACGCUAUGAAGACCAAGAAGAUGGGCUAAGGAGGCAGAGAGUGAUGAGGAGGGUGUUAUUUUAUGGGGUGGUCAAGGCUGGCCUUUCUGAGGAGGAUGUGCGGGGAGAGCCAGGCACAUGGCUGGGAGGAGACCCUUCCAGGAUGUGGAGGACGAGCAGCAAAGGCCUGGGGCAGAAGCGAGAAGGAGUGCUGGGGAACCAGCAAGAAGCUACCGGGACUGCAGCUGCAGUGGGAGGGGGCGGUGCAGGGAAGUGAAGCGGGGCAGCGGGGAGAAGAGGCCAGGCACCUGUGACCACUGUCAGGGGUGGGAGCAGAGGAGUGGCGGGAGGGGCGAGCGUGGAAGCAGGAAUUCAGCCAGGAGGCUGUUGUAGACAGGGAUCUGUUUCUGAAGAUCCAUCAAGACUGGAGACUAAACGCUUGCUUCUUGCUUUGGCUGUGCUGAUAUUAAUUACAGCUCUGCGAAUGGCCUCUCUCCUGUCCUCAAUUCCAGUGCUGCAGAGUUAUGAUUAAGCAGAUCUGUCACUAAGUGAGGAUUUUGUUGUGCUUUUUGAAUGCAGUGCCUCGGUAUGUUCAUUUAUUUUUCAUUCAAGUUUGUAUUGAAUGAUGUAUUAUAUCUCACGUGGUAGGUCUCCUGUGCCCCACUGCCUGGGGCUCCCUGUCCCUCUCCACCUGCUUUCUUUUCCCCCAUUGUACUUACUUAUCACUACCCAACACAUUGGGCAUGCAUUUGGCAUGCUUGGUUUUAUGUGUCAAACUUGGCUAAGCUAUAAGACCCAGUUAUUGAAGCAAAUGCUAACCCAGUGUUGCUGUGAAUGUAUUUUAUAGAUGUGGUAAGCACUUAUGAUCAGCUGUCUUUAAGUAAAGGAGAUUACCCUUGAUAGCUUGGUGGGCCUCAUCUAAUCAGUGGAGAGGUUUGAAGAGCAAAACUGAAGUUUCCCUAUGAAAGAAGCAAUUCUGCCCCAGGACUGCAGCAUCAAUUCCUACAUGAGUUUCCAGCCUGCUAGCCCGCUCCACAGAUCUCAGACUUGCCAGCCUUCACAACUGUAUGAGCCAAUUCCUGAGAUAAAUUCCUUUAUACAGGUAUGUAAUAUGUACACAUACACACAUCUAUGCCAUCUAGAUUUAGAGCUAAUCUAACUCCUGGCUCUGUUUGUCUGGAGACCCCUGACUGAUACUGAUGUGUUUAUUUGCUUAGCAUCCUCCCUACCCCAGAUACAAGCUCUCUAAGGGGAAGGUCUUCUGUCUGUUUCCUUCAUGCUGUGUCUGAAGUGCCCAGGACAGCAGCCGGCCAUAGGAGGUGUUCAGUCGAUAUUGUACAAUGGAUCUUCAUAAUUCUUAGUUAUUUGUGUGGUUGUCGACUCUGUCUGAAAUUCAAGAAAGAAGAAAAUAAGAAAAAAGGAUAAAAGCACACCGGUCUUAUCUGAGGCUGGGGAUUUCCCAGUUGGGCCCAGUGUUGUGGAUUCUGCAGUUGAGCAUGUGUCUGUUUGCGGCUGAAAGAAAGCUGUGGCAGUGAGGAGAGGUUGCAAAUUUAAACUCCAGUUCAAGUUCUCCUAGCAACAUGCACACCCCCGCUGCUGGCUGGUGUAAUCCAAGCACCAGACACGUGCAGCUGGGGCAGUUCGGGUUGCUAGGAGAACAAUGACUCGCUUGCUUCCAGAGCUCGUAGGUGACAGCGGUAUUACCAGAGGCACACGAAGUGGGUGUUGCCCUUUGUUUCCCAAGUAAUUGUUUUAAAGCAAGGAUUUCAUGACGAGACAUCGUCUGCUACAGGAUUUGCAGGGAAACAUGGAGUAUCACUUUGGGCCUGUUUUCUAAGAGAAUGGCCUGAAGAGAAUAGAUUCAAGUUUCCUCCCAGAAAAGCCUCUGCUUCAGGAGCAGGAACACUCGACUAGUAAGGGGAGGAAUGCCUCAAAUGAGCAUGUGCAUAACUUCAGUAAACAUGCUGUGCAUGUGGCCCCUCCCAAGUGCCGGCAGGCCACCACGCAAGUGGGCAGCCCUGGACAGCCCGCCCCUGGGGAAGAAUCAAGGGAGGAGAAACAGAAACCCUGGAACCGUGUCAAUAUAUAAAACCUCAAGUCAAGGGCUGAAUGGCACACUUGGAUCUCUCGAGUCACCCGCUUGGCCCCCUUCGAAGUGUACUUUACUUCCAUUUGUUCCUGCUCUAAAACUUUUUAAUAAACUUUCACUCCUGCUCUAAAACUUGCCUCGGUCUCUCCCUCUGCCUUAAAACUACUUCUGCCCCUCAGCCGAAUUCUUUCCUCUGAGAGGACAAGAAUCAAGCUGCUGCACACCUCUGCAAAUUCACCGCUGCUAACAAUGGGGCUGGUUUUCUGGCCCGCGGAAGGUGAGCUAAAGGGAUGAGCAGCCCUGCCUGGCACGGUCCUAAAACCUGCCAGACCAUCCUCCCUCUAUUCUCUUCCCGUCUGCUUGUUGGAUGCAGGAGACCCAGGGUGGGACUCCAAGGCCCUGAAAAACAGUAGAGCUACUUGGGAGGAGCCCGGGUCCCCGAAUACCUUAGUGGAGUAGAAUGUCCCCUACACUUAACUCAUAUUGGACUCUGAAGGCAAAACUCGCCUUUGUUGUGUUGAGCCACUAAGCUUUGGGGGGCAUCUGAAACAGGCUGUGCUGAUUAAUACAGAGCAGACAGGAGGGCACGGGAGAUGACCAGUUUUGUGGGCUGGGAGAGAGGCAGUGGGAUUU